CAGUCGCCGCGGGAAUACAGAGGGUGCGAGCGUUAAUCGGAUUUACUGGGCGUAAAGCGUGCGUAGGCGGUUCGGAAAGAAAGAUGUGAAAUCCCAGGGCUUAACCUUGGAACUGCAUUUUUAACUCCCGGACUAGAGUAUGUCAGAGGGGGGUGGAAUUCCACGUGUAGCAGUGAAAUGCGUAGAUAUGUGGAGGAACACCGAUGGCGAAGGCAGCCCCCUGGGAUAAUACUGACGCUCAUGCACGAAAGCGUGGGGAGCAAACAGGAUUAGAUACCCCCGUAGUCCCUGUCUCUUAUAC
rnacentral:rRNA from 1 species